CAUCGCAAUCUGCUUCCGUCUUGGCCCGUUUGUUCUACCUGUGGUUGGGCUUCGCCUCCGUACGCGUCGUCGGUGCCGCCUCAACGUUUUGCCCUCCCGCUGUUGGCCCAUGUAGGAACCGCCCCUUCCGUCGAUGCUGCGUCGGCGUCUCGCCGGCCGCCUUUCCUCGGGUUGGCUGUUCCUCUUCGUCUUCCUUGUGCUCCUCGAUUCUGGAUUCGCUGUGUUGCUAGGCUGCACACCUCAGCGGCUGCACGGAUCAAUUUGCCGAGACUGAAUUUAAGGGAGGCACCUAGCGUCUCCUUCGAGCCUGAUCCGUGACAUGUGUCCUAAACCAAAUGAGCUAUCUCCAUGGACAUGCAAUUUUCGAUCUGGUGAAGCCGUAGCAGUAUGGGAAACAAAUCCUACCUGAGAUGCACACACCACACUAGGUUUCAGCCCUUAAUCGCCUUGGUGUUUUAGCCCCAUAUUUUUCUUAACAAUUGUUGCCUUCUGAUGUCCUCAUUGCGGUGUUAAGUGAGAACCUGCUGUCGUUCCUUUUGGGUUAUUUUUCUACGCAAAUUUGGAACAAGAGGCACUGCAUGUCCUUACACAUGGAGUAGAUAUGACAUUGUGGACAACAGAUAACACAAACUUUCAACCCUUGGUUUGAUGCUUUAUUAUUCGGUGCAUCACCGUAACAGAGCAGUUGCUGAGCUAAUAGAAAGAUGGUUUUACUUUCUCCCUGAGACCCUGUGGACACUAGCGAAUCAAUAUCCACUAGGAUAGUCAUACAAAUUUGACAGAGUAACUGUACCUUCAAUAUAUUUUCCUUUCUUUCUUGACGAUGCUCCCUUUUAAUUUAUAUAUUGUCCUUCGAAUUUCCAUUUCAAAUUGUCACAGGAUGGUUUUCUGGAUAUUGCAUACCAAAUUAUUGUGUUAUUUGUUUUUCCAGGGGAAACUAAUCAUUCCUACAAUGGUGUUUGCCUGGUGCAUGGAGUUAAACAGCAUGUAGAUGGACCCAAGGGAUCAGGCAACGACCCCGUGCAUAUCAAAGCCAUUUGUAUUUUAUUUCCUAAGAAUAAUUCAGUUGCAUACUAGUUCCUUAA